AGCCUGAUGCAGCCAUGCCGCGUGUGUGAAGAAGGCCUUCGGGUUGUAAAGCACUUUCAGCCGUGAGGAAGGCAUUGUACUUAAUACGUGCAGUGUUUGACGUUAGCGGCAGAAGAAGCACCGGCUAACUCCGUGCCAGCAGCCGCGGUAAUACGGAGGGUGCGAGCGUUAAUCGGAAUUACUGGGCGUAAAGCGCAUGCAGGCGGUCUGUUAAGCAAGAUGUGAAAGCCCCGGGCUUAACCUGGGAACCGCAUUUUGAACUGGCAGGCUAGAGUCUUGUAGAGGGGGGUAGAAUUUCAGGUGUAGCGGUGAAAUGCGUAGAGAUCUGAAGGAAUACCGGUGGCGAAGGCGGCCCCCUGGACAAAGACUGACGCUCAGAUGCGAAAGCGUGGGGAGCAAACAGGAUUAGAUACCCUGGUAGUCCACGCCGUAAACGAUGUCUACUUGGAGGCUGUAGUCUAGAACUGUGGCUUUCGGAGCUAACGCGUUAAGUAGACCGCCUGGG
rnacentral:rRNA from 2 species